rnacentral:rRNA from 1 species
AUGAAGCCCCGGUGGCUCAUUGUUGGUGACUUCAACCUGAUCACCAAAGUGGCUGACAAUAACAACCAAAACAUCAACAACCGCCUCAUUGGAAGUUUCCAUUCCGCGUUAAAUCACCUACAGCUAAAAGAGAUGUGUCUCUCAGGCCAUAAAUUCACAUGGUCCAAUGCUCAACAGAACCCGGUGCUAACAAAGAUAGAUCAUUUAUUCCACUCCGAUGAUUGGGAUGAGCUUUUUCCCAAUGCUCACCUUCAAGCCAUCUCGUCAGCCUACUCGGAUCAUGCCCCGCUGUUCCUCCAAGAGGACACAGAGGUGCGUCGGCGCCCGUCCUUCAAGUUUGAAGAGUUCUGGCUUAGAUUACCUGGUUUCAAGGAAACGGUGGCCACGACCUGGAAUAAACCAGUGCAGUCAACCAAUGUAAUCCGCAAGAUUCACAUCAAAUUGGCAUGGAUUGCAAAGGCUCUCAAGGAAUGUCAAAGAGAUACAGUCUGA